rnacentral:tRNA from 1 species
GCAUUGGUGGUUCAGUAGUAGAAUUCUUGCCUUUUAAGUGGGAGAGCCAGGUAGAUUCGUGGCCAGUGCA